UACGUAGGGGGCAAGCGUUGUCCGGAUUUAUUGGGCGUAAAGAGCGUGUAGGCGGCUGGGUAGGUCCGUUGUGAAAACUCGAGCUCAACCUCGAGACGCCGAUGGAAACCCUCCAGCUAGAGUCCGGAAGAGGAGAGUGGAAUUCCUGGUGUAGCGGUGAAAUGCGCAGAUAUCAGGAAGAACACCCGUGGCUAAGGCGGCUCUCUAGUACGGUACUGACGCUGAGACGCGAAAGCGUGGGGAGCGAACAGG
rnacentral:rRNA from 1 species